GUAAUACCGCAUUAUCUCGUGCUUUGCACGAGGAAUUUCUAAUUUCUAAUGAUUCUAAUUUCUAAUCAAAUCCCAAAUAUCAAUGACUAAAAAACAUUGGUGAUUGGGGCCUCAUUAGAUCAAUUAGAGUAAUUAGGUUAAUUAGGCAUUUCUUGUGCAGAGUGCGAGCAAAGGCCGUAACUGGUCGCCGAGAGAGGAGCCUGCGUCCUAUCAGCUUGUUGGUGAGGUAAUGGCUCACCAAGGCAAUGACGGGUAGCCGGUGUGAGAGCACGAUCGGCCACAAGGUAACUGAGACACGGUGCCUACACCUACGGGUGGCAGCAACUGGGAAUCUUGCGCAAUGGACGAAAGUCUGACGCAGCGACACCGCGUGUGGGAUGAAGCAUUUCGGUGUGUAAACCACUGUGGCGGGGGAGAAAGAUCUGAUAGUACCCCGCUAGAAAGCAUCUGCUAACUACGUGCCAGAAGCCUCGGCAAUGCGUAGGAUGCAAGCGUUAUCCGGAUUUACUGGGCGUAAAGGGUUUCGCAGGCGGAUUGUUAAGUUGUGUUUGAAAGCUGACGGCUCAACCGUUUAGUUGGACACAAUACUGGCAAUCUUGAGGACAUCAGGGGAGACUGGAAUUCUCG
rnacentral:rRNA from 1 species